UAUAAAAAAUUUGCAAAGACCUCAUCAAUUCAACAUACUUAACAAAAACUCGAACGACCAAUGCUGGAUAAUCAUUUUUAGUAAAAAUGCCUAGUUGCUUUAAAAUUAGUAACCAUGACAUAAAGUAAAGUUCAUGACCACUUCCAUAAUCUAUUCGCUUUCUGUUUCCAAAGCUUUCAUAAAAAUAUCGACCUGCCUCCAUCGCCGCAUUAUGCUCAAUUCCAAAUACUUGGUGCAACUUUGGUGUUUCAAUGUAUACCUGAUCGUAAAAUGAUUGAAAUGCAGGAUUGCCAAACCUCGACCCCAUAUUAUCAAUUGCAGGAUUUUCCUGUUUAAUUUCUCCAACUCGAUCUAGUAUAUUUAAUACAUGCUCUAUUGAUGAGCUUUGCGGAAUUGAAGCUGAAAUAGGCUUGUCUUUCACAGCUUCGUCAAGAUCACAAAUAAACGAAUCAAUUAACUUAUAAGCAUCUCCUUCUUUAAAUAAUUUUAAGUCUUCAUUGUCUAAAAUUCGUCGGACAGGAACGAAACACCGGUUUUGCUCUUCUCUAGAAAGCAUGUUGGCAUAACUUGAUCGGUUAAGACAAGAUUAACAAAAGCCUUAAAAAUUAUACAGUUGGACGCUCUUCAAUAUUCCUUAUGUUGUUAUUUGUUAUGUCAGUCGUCAGUACGUUACAUUUCAUUAUUGUAAUUAGCUAUAAUCAGUGAGAACAUUUUUUAAAGAAAGAAAUGUAGAAAUUUUUUUUUUUUUUUUCAAAAUUGUUUUAAGGAAAUAAUUUCGACUACUAAAGUUAUUUUUCAUACCAAUGUGUUCUUUUAUUCUAUGUGUAAACAGAUACAGUGUAAUAAGCGUUUAUUAAUUGCUUGAUAUACAACAACAUAUUUAUGAUUCACAUGAAGUGUACAUGUCAUUAAUUCUAGCCAUCGACAAAUAUUUAAAAAUAUAAAAAGGAAGGGCCAAAGAUGGAGGUAUUGUAAUAGUACUAGACAUGGGAAGCUAAUUGAUAUGAAGGAGAUAGCCGGCAUAAACAAAUAAGUGCUCCGCUUUUUGAAAAUAGUUAAAUAAACGCGGAUUGUUUAAUGAUUUUAUCGCAAGAAAAAAGCACCGACCUAAUUGUCUCAUACCGGAACAUUAAAGGAUAGAAUAUACAUGAGAGAAAAUGUAUUCCUUGUUAAAAAAGCCUGAAGUAAACAUUAAAUGAUUAAACGUUUCUUAAGAAAAGAGAGGUACUGAUAUCCAAGUUAAAAAUAGAGACUCAUAAAUGCUUGCAGCCAUUUUGAAAAUGCUUGUUUACAGCUUAAACUCUCAAUCCAACCAACCUAAAAAUAUAACCCGAGUAAAAAUAAGUUCUAAUAAUCUCAUUUUCCUAGACGUUUCCUAAGUGCUCGUUGUCGGCGUAAGCGCUUUUUGAACUUAUGUUUAUUCAUUUUCAAUUUUCUUUUUCGUUUGACACUGGUCAAAUCUAAAGGUGUAAUAGAAAUCAGCUUAUCACAUAUUUGUUCCCAUACUUGAGUAGAUAUACGAGCGGGUUGAGUUUGAGUUACGGAUCCAGAUGCAGAGAAUGAUUGAGCAUACAAAUAGCCAUCCUCUAAAGAUAACACAUAUUCCUGGGGUUGAUCUUCCUCAUCCUGCGAUUGCGAAACUUGUGUUUUGGACUCAACUUUAGGCACACAUAUUUGAUUAGCUGACAAAGGUCGAUAUCCAGCAAAGAAAUUUGCUUUUGCGAUUUCUACGCAAUGAAGUUAGAAAUAGAAGUAUUUAAUUUACUUACGACGAUAUGAAACGUGUGAAGUUGUAGGAACCGUUGGUAGGUUAUAUUUCGACCCAACUUCGGGAGAAGCUGAAACAUGCCAAAUCGGUAUGGGACUACGCAGUGAAAGGCCGUUUAAACCUUUUAAUAUUGUGGAAAGCGCACCUCUUCGUAACAUGGGUGACCAAGGCGAAAAAUGUGUUGUACUCUUUGCACUGCGGGAAGGUAAGAAUUGGUAUGCUUAUGCUAAACACUUACAAAGAGGAAGGGUGGUGCACAUUUGAUAUUAAUUCAGAAGAAUGUUGUAUUUAAAUAUAUAUGUGAUGUUAAAUAAAAUUAAUGCUAAAUGAAAUACAAAAUUGUCCUUAUGUAUAUACAGAUGUUAGGUACGUUUUCGCUUCGAGAGUGGGCUGUCAGAAUGAAGUCCACCGAGACGAUGCAAAUUUUUUUGCAAGAUUGGGUUUUUAGGAUCAUACCAAGCAGAUCCUUCUUUUGUAGUAUCUUCAUUUGCCAAAUGCGUCCAGCGUGUUUGGCCUGCCUUCGCAAAAAGAUCUCCCCUAAUUUGCAUAGGUUUGGGUAAUAAAUCUUUAUUAAGAACUUCCCCUUCUGUGGCUUCUGAAUAAUCUCUUUUACUCACAAUAUCUUCGUUUUGAUAGAAUGCACCCUUAUGAUAGUACUUUUGUAAGAACUGCAUAGAUGACUUUUUCUUUCCUCUCCGACUUGCUUCAGCGUCCUUCAAAUCUUGGGCUUCGCGUUCCUCAGAAUUCAUUAAUCUUCUUUCUUCAAUUGCCAUCUUUUCCCUUUCUAAUUCCAGUGACUUUUCCUUGUCUCUCUUUUUCCUAAGCAAAUGCCUUAAUUUCCAUAAUUCAUAUUCACUUUGCGGAUCAAUUCCAUCGGU
rnacentral:lncRNA from 1 species